AUGAAAUGGAGAUCCCAGAUCCUGAGGGUUCAGGGCUCAUGGUGCCCAUCCUGGGCAUGGAGCAUGAUGAGAAUUCGGGCGAUGCCACACCUCUGGCAGGCUCAACAGCAAAGGUCUUAUCCCAAUUUCAAUCGGGGCUCAAGCCAUAGACCUCUUGACUGGGGAGCCUGGUCCCGUCACUGGAGCUCAAAGGGAUCCCUCUUCCAGAGUGGUGGUGCCCAUUGUCCAGGUGCUGGAGUCCUUACCUCGAGGAGUGAGAGACCCUGGUCUGCUGGAUGUCCUGGAGCGGGAGCUGAGGGCCCGGGAGCAGUACUGGCACCACCAGGAACAGGAGGAGGAGAUGCUACUGGAUCACCUGGGGCACCUGAGCCAGGAGCUCCACUUCACUGCAGGCAAUGGCAUGGAGCAGCAGCCCUGGAGUCCCACUGCCUGCAGGAGACGGAGAGAAGAGCCAGGGCUCUGAGCACACACAGCAGCCCAGUGUGGGGCCUGCUCUCUCAAGGUGGUUCAUCGUCUCUCUGA
rnacentral:lncRNA from 13 species